UAGGCUUCGUAGUAUGCGGGAGAUGAUUCUUCCGCAGUGACACUCACAGAAGCCGUUGUGGCCCUUCACAGGGUAUCCUCACGACUAUAAAUAAAAGAUGGUUUGCACAAGUAAUCUAUCAGAUUGCAACAUAAUCGAAAUGCGGGGAUCUCCUAAAGUCAUUGAGUACUAACUCAAGGUAGAAAUACUUUGAGGGCUUAUGUUAACAGCAUAAGGUAUAGUAAUAAUCUCAAUGGAUGUUACAAUGGACAAUCCGCAGCGAAACCUCUAAGAGCUUGAAGCUUAUGAGGUGCGUCCACAGACUAAGUGGUUAUGGGCAUUUGGCUGAGAAGUCAAAAGCUUAAGAUAUAGUCGGGCCUCGAUGGAAACAUCUAGGAGUAAGUCACUGUAUGAUUUACUGGCUGGCAAGUAGAAAGCAGCCUGAACCGUUCCGUAGGUGAACCUGCGGAAGGAUCAUUACAGAGUUCAUGCCCGAAAGGGUAGACCUCCCACCCUUGUGUAUUAUUACUUUGUUGCUUUGGCGAGCUGCCUUCGGGUCUUGUAUGCUCGCCAGAGAAUAUCAAAACUCUUUUUAUUAAUGUCGUCUGAGUACUAUAUAAUAGUUAAAACUUUCAACAACGGAUCUCUUGGUUCUGGCAUCGAUGAAGAACGCAGCGAAAUGCGAUAAGUAAUGUGAAUUGCAGAAUUCAGUGAAUCAUCGAAUCUUUGAACGCACAUUGCGCCCCUUGGUAUUCCGGGGGGCAUGCCUGUUCGAGCGUCAUUUCAACCCUCAAGCUCAGCUUGGUAUUGAGUCCAUGUCAGCAAUGGCAGGCUCUAAAAACAGUGGCGGCGCCUCUGGGUCCUGAACGUAGUAAUAUCUCUCGUUACAGGUUCUCGGUGUGCUUCUGCCAAAACCCAAA
rnacentral:rRNA from 1 species